rnacentral:tRNA from 1 species
GCUUCUGUAGCUCAGUUGGUACGAGCGUCCGACUGAAGAAUUCAGUUUCAAUAAGUCGCCACUGUCUGCAGUGGAUGUUUGAUUAUCGGGAGGUCAUCUGUUCGAUCCAGGUCAGAAGCA